UCAGGGACCCACUUGAGGAGGCAGUCUGCCCGUUCUCAGAUCUCCAGCUGCGUGCUGGGAGAACCACUGCUCUCUUCAAAGCUGUCAGACAGGGACAUUUAAGUCUGCAGAGGUUACUGCUGUCUUUUUGUUUGUCUGUGCCCUGCCCCCAGAGGUGGAGCCUACAGAGGCAGGCAGGCCUCCUUGAGCUGUGGUGGGCUCCGCCCAGUUGGAGCUUCCCGGCUGCUUUGUUUACCUCAUCAAGCCUGGGCAAUGGCGGGCGCCCCUCCCCCAGCCUUGCUGCCGCCUUGCAGUUUGAUCUGAGACUGCUGUGCUAGCAACCAGCGAGACUCCGUGGGCGUAGGACCCUCCGAGCCAGGUGCGGGAUAUAAUCUCGUAGUUUGCCGUUUUUAAAGCCCGUCGGAAAAGCGCAAUAUUCGGGUGGGAGUGACCUGAUUUUCCAGAUUGGAGAUUCCUGAAGCAUCAGUGACGUAAACCUGAAUCUAAAUAAAGUCAGCCUAGAGGAAAACAGAGCUGAGAAGUGGAGAGAGCCACCAUGAUCCAGCCAUUCCUGAGGCUAAGAUACUGCCUGCACUUCCAAAUACCAGAACCAAUAAAUCCUGUCACCUUGAUUAAA